rnacentral:lncRNA from 1 species
AGAUGCCAUCAGUCCCCACUGUCCACAGACGAGGGAACUGAAAUCGUGAGUCAUUUGUCCAACCUUAUCAUGGUGUAAUGGAUCCAGGACUCUACCCUUUCAGUCGAGAGUCUGGGCCGCUGCAGACUGAGGCCAAUGGCAUCAUUUGUGUAGGGACACAACCAUGGGCACUUUGUCACACUGAAUCCUGUAGCUUGCCUUGAUGUCUCUCUUACAGUGCCACCCAACAGAGGCUCUACAUUAGUGGUUCUCAGCCUUCCUAAUGCUGCGACCUUUUAAUCCAGUUCCUCGUGUUGUGGUGAAACCCAACCAUAAAAUCAUUUUCAUUGCUACUUCAUAACUGUAAUUUUGCUACUGCUAUUCAUUGUAAUGUAAAUAUCUGAUUUUCUGAUGGUCUUAGGCAACCCCUGUAGAAGGGUCAGUCUACCUUCAAAGAGGACCCUCAGGUGGAGUGUUAGAUGCUGCUCUUACUGAUGACCCACUGAUUGCUCUGAUGGCUUCUGUCAACUCACUCAGGAUCUGCUAUAGACUCCCAAGCACUUGGGAAUCUACUUGAAUUUAGUCCCCUGGUUUCAUUCACCCAGGGUCAUGAGCUGAGAAAGGCUACAUACAACACAGGGUUAUCAUUUACUCUGUUUCAUCUGGCUUUUGUUCAUUUCUGCCUGGUGCCUAAUAGUGUUCUUAACUGGGUUUGGAUGUGCUGUUAAAUGAAAAGAGUGCUGUUCAUUGGUUCGAGGAGAAGGAGGAGGAGGAGGAGAAGGAAGAAGAAGAAGAAGAGGAAGAGGAGGAGGAGGAGGAAGAAGAAGAAGAAGAAGAAGAAGAAGAAGAAGAAGAAGAAGAAGAAGAAGAAGAAGAAGAAGAAGAAGAAGAAGAAGAAGAAGAAGAAGAGAGCAUAUUUGUUUCUUGCCUCCACAGACCUAGAUAUGUAACAGGUUCUUCUUGUACUUCAUUUGGGUUGCUUUUACUGAUUAUCCCAAAUAAAGCUCCCUCCCCAUAAAGGCUUCUCAACAGCCAUCAAGCUUGUGUGGUCUUCACUUUUCUCUUCCUCUAGAGGUCACCCACUUCUCCCUGACAUCAUUUCCAGGAAACCCCUCCCCACCCCG